UAGGGAAUCUUCGGCAAUGGACGAAAGUCUGACCGAGCAACGCCGCGUGAGUGAAGAAGGUUUUCGAGUCGUAAAACUCUGUUGGUAGAGAAGAACGUUGGUGAGAGUGGAAAGCUCAUCAAGUGACGGUAACUACCCAGAAAGGGACGGCUAACUACGNGCCAG
rnacentral:rRNA from 1 species